GAGAGUAUAGCUCAGUGGUAGAGUGAGUGCUUAGCAUACACGAGGUCCUGGGUUCAAUCCCCAGCACCUCCA
rnacentral:tRNA from 1 species